AACAAACGCUGGCGGCGUGCCUAAUACAUGCAAGUCGAACGGGGAAAGUAGCAAUACAAGUACUAGUGGCGCACGGGUGAGUAACACGUGGGUAAUCUGCCUUGGAGUGGGGGAUAACUAGUCGAAAGAUUAGCUAAUACCGCAUAAGACCACAAGAUCUGCGGAUCUAGGGGUCAAAGGUUUUUCGCUCUAAGAUGAGCCCGCGUAAGAUUAGCUAAUUGGUUAGGUAACGGCUCACCAAGGCGACGAUCUUUAACUGGUCUGAGAGGAUGAUCAGUCACACUGGAACUGAGACACGGUCCAGACUCCUACGGGAGGCAGCAGUAGGGAAUAUUGCGCAAUGGGGGAAACCCUGACGCAGCGACGCCGCGUGAGUGAUGAAGGACUUCGGUUCGUAAAGCUCUGUUGCGAGGGAAAAAUAAAGUGAUUGUACCUUGUGAGGAAGGGUCGGCUAACUUCGUGCCAGCAGCCGCCGUAAAAC
rnacentral:rRNA from 1 species